CCCCGCCCGGCUGCUGCGGAGGCGGCUUUCCAGGAACUUUCCAGGAAUCGGCCUCACGUGACCGCGGGCCCCGCUACUGCUUUAAAGAGGCUCGGUCGCAAUACACAGGCUUCAGGGAAGACCGGAGUUUGCCAUCUCCGUACCACCACCACCACCACACACAGCACCCUCAAGACUCCCUGUGAUCCUGGGAUGCACUCAACGAAGAGUGUGUGGCCCAGGAUUUGAUGGAAAUGCUACAAGAGAAGCAGGCUCUCCCCUUCUGAAAUGAUGAGUGAUAAUGACCAUACAGGUCAACUUUUCCACCACUUGGAGGGAGCCUGUCAAAGAACAAAGGCAACAGAGAAGAGAGCAGAGCUGAGGUUGGGUGAGAGGGAGAAAUUCCUGAGUGCUUGAAUCCCACAUGCCGGAAGCCGCACCACACUUGGACUUCUCAAUACAGGAGCCACUGAGAAACCAAGUCAUGCUGAAGACCUGGAAAUCCCAGCAGGCUGCAAACCAGCUGCAACUACAAUGGGUCAGCCCUUUUGAGAUGCUGCUGACUACCCACUUAUCUGCCAAGUUAGCCAGUGUUAAGCCAUGGAUUCACCACGCUCAGAUAAAACCUGCCCCUCUGGGAUCCCUCCAGAAAAAAACAGGCAUGCUGUUGUGAACCCUAAGAUGGCCUUAAGUUAAUAUUCAAUGCCCAGCCAAAGACCCUAAAUAAGAAGUCAUAAAGGAAACAUGUGCUUUUCAGGUUGGUAUUAUUCUCCCCAAAACCCUUCUUGCAUGCAGGAUGUAAUGAAUCAGAAAUAGUUGUUAGUAAUUUUUUUUUUUUUGAGACAGAGUCUCACUCUGUCACUCAGGCUGGAGUGCAGUGGUAUAAUCUCAGCUCACUGCAACCUCCACCUCUCAGGUUCAAGCAAUUCUCAUGCUUCAGCCUCCCAAGUAGCUAGGACUACAGGUGUGCACCACCAUGCCCAGGUAAUUUUUGUAUUUUUAAUAGAUACAGGGUUUCACCACGUUGCUCAGGCUGGUCUUGAACUCCUGACCUCAAGUGAGCCACAUCUGCCUCAGCCUCCCGGAGUGCUAGGAUUGCAGGUGUGAGCCACCACACCCAGCCAUGAAUCAGAAAUACUUUUUAAUAGGCUUAGGAUUGUUCUCUUGGAUUCCUUAAGGGAUCCACUUUAAUUCUUGGGUGUUUUUUUUUUUUUUAAUCAUGGUGCUCCAACAAGCGGGAUGCCAGUCAGGUAAUCCUGAGCACUUCAGAUUCAGGGGUGAUGUUUGCAUUUCCCAUCAUUAUCCCACAAUGCACCCCUUAGCAUUAAGUAGCCAAAAAGGCAGACAACCAUAUUCCCCAUGAUCGAAAAAUUGAUGAAUAGAAAAAAGGGGAUUAAAACCAGCCCAAUUGUCCCAUAGAAAUGAUAUUACGGUUUUUAAAAGAAACAUAAAAAUUAACCUUCCUGUUUUUAAAAUUUAAAACUUACAUUUAUCUCAUCUGAAUUCCUUCCUCAAAAAACAGACACUCAGGCAAAAACAAAAACCUAAAACUCAUCAGAUCACUGUAUCCAGACAGAGACGCCAGACCCCUCAUCCAUCAUGAUUGCUUCUAUACUCCUCCUUAAUUCCUAUUUUCCCACCUUUCCUGCUAUACAAAACCCCCAAUUUUAGUCGGUCAGACAAACACAUUUGAGACUUUAUCUCCUGUUCUCCUUGGCUGCAACACCCCGUUAAAGUUUUCUUCCCUGGCAAUAGUUACUGUCUCAGUGAUUGGCAUUCUGUGUAACAAGCAGCAGAACCUAGACUGGAACCCUGGUGUUUCAGUAACAUUACCUUGUAGUAAAUGCUGUUGUGUCAUGCCCAGAUUCACUUUACCAAGCCCAGAUCCCACAGAUUAAAGGGCUCAGCUCCACAAGACUUCAGACACCAGCCACAAAUGGGGUCCCCAGGUGACCCACACUUCUGCCCAGUGGACUAUAAAUUCAAGGGUUCUGUGACUUUCCCUACCCAGCUUUGAUAAUUCACUAGAAUCCUCACAGAACUCAGGAAAAUGCCAUACCUACUAUUACACUUUAUUAUGAUGGACACACACGAGCAGCCAGAUGGAGGGGUACUGAGGAAGCAUCUGAAUGCAGGAGGCUCUGUCCCUGGAGAGUUGGGAUGAGCCACUCUCCUGGAUGUGUUCACCAACUCAGAAGCUCUCCAAGCCCCAUUGUGUAGGGAUUUUUUAUGGCAGUUUCAGUAAGUACACAUGAUUGAUUAAAUCAUUGGCCAUUGGUGAUUGAACUCAAUCUCUAGCCCCUCUCCUGCUCUCAGAGGUGGAAGAGCAAGGCUGGAAGUUCUAACCUUCUCAGUACAUGGUUGGUUUUUCCUGUGUCCAGGUCCCAUCCUAAAGCUACCUAGGCCCCCUCUGCCCAACAAGAGUCUUCUCAUUAGCAAAAGAGUAAUUUCCAAGGGUGUUAGGAGCUCUAUGCUGGGAACCAGGGACCAAGAGUAAAUAUAUAUUUUGUAUUUUACCACAGGUACCAAUCACCCUCCAGAUCUAAGAAUGGCUUCAGGCUGGGGCUGCAGUCACCUCUUUGCCCAGCUUCUCCCCUGCCCUAUUCUGCUUCACUUGCAUCCUUAAAGGUUCCACCCAAGAGCUCUUCUACAAGAAAGCACCUAUAAAGCCAGACACAUUGGCUUAUGCCUAUAAUCCUAGCACUUUGGGAGGCCAAGGUAGGAGGAUGGCUUGAGGCCAGGAGUUCAAGACCAGCCUGGGCAACUUAGUGAGGCCCCGUCUCUAUAAAAAAUAAAAAAAUUAACCAGGUGUGGUGGUGCACGUCUCUAGUCUCAGCUACUCAGGAGGCUGUGGCAGGAAGAUGGCUUGAGCCCAGGAGGUUGAGGCUGCAGUGAACUAAGAUCAUGCCACUGCACCCAUCUUGGGCAACAGAAUGAGAUCCUGUCUCUAAAAAAAUAAAAACAAUUUACAACAGUAAGCACCUGUACACAAGCCCCAUCUCCAGUCCUGUUUCUAGGGCUUCCAAUUUAACACACCUAGAGGCUGGGCAUAGUAGCUCAUGCCUGUAAUCCCAAUACUUUGGGAGGCUGAGGCAAGUGAAGCACUUGAGGUCAGGAGUUCGAGACCAGCCUGGCCAACAUGGCAAAACCCCAUCUCUACUAAAAAUGCAAACAUUAGCUGGGCAUGGUGGCACAUGCCUGUAAUCCCAGCUACUCGGGAGGCUGAGACAGGAGAAUCACUUGAACCCAGGAGGUGGAGGUUACAGUGAGCCAAGAUCACACCACUGUACCACAGCCUGAGCAACGAAAGAAGACUCUGUCUAAAAAAAGUAAAAAAUAAAAUAAAACACACCUGGAGCUUUCUA
rnacentral:lncRNA from 1 species